UACGGGGGGAGCAAGCGUUGUUCGGAUUUACUGGGCGUAAAGGGCGCGUAGGCGGCCACCGCAAGUCGACUGUGAAAUCUCCGGGCUUAACCCGGAACGGUCAGAUGAUACUGCUUUGCUAGAGUGCGGAAGGGGCAAUCGGAAUUCUUGGUGUAGCGGUGAAAUGCGUAGAUAUCAAGAGGAACACCUGAGGUGAAGACGGGUUGCUGGGCCGACACUGACGCUGACAGCGCGAAAGCCAGGGGAGCAAACGGG
rnacentral:rRNA from 1 species